rnacentral:rRNA from 1 species
UUUAUGGAGAGUUUGAUCCUGGCUCAGGAUGAACGCUGGCGGCGUGCCUAAUACAUGCAAGUCGAGCGAACGGACGAGAAGCUUGCUUCUCUGAUGUUAGCGGCGGACGGGUGAGUAACACGUGGAUAACCUACCUAUAAGACUGGGAUAACUUCGGGAAACCGGAGCUAAUACCGGAUAAUAUUUUGAACCGCAUGGUUCAAAAGUGAAAGACGGUCUUGCUGUCACUUAUAGAUGGAUCCGCGCUGCAUUAGCUAGUUGGUAAGGUAACGGCUUACCAAGGCAACGAUGCAUAGCCGACCUGAGAGGGUGAUCGGCCACACUGGAACUGAGACACGGUCCAGACUCCUACGGGAGGCAGCAGUAGGGAAUCUUCCGCAAUGGGCGAAAGCCUGACGGAGCAACGCCGCGUGAGUGAUGAAGGUCUUCGGAUCGUAAAACUCUGUUAUUAGGGAAGAACAUAUGUGUAAGUAACUGUGCACAUCUUGACGGUACCUAAUCAGAAAGCCACGGCUAACUACGUGCCAGCAGCCGCGGUAAUACGUAGGUGGCAAGCGUUAUCCGG